rnacentral:rRNA from 1 species
GAUUUUGCCUUCGGGUACAAUUGAGACAGGUGGUGCAUGGUUGUCGUCAGCUCGUGUCGUGAGAUGUGGGUUAAGUCCCGCAACGAGCGCAACCCUUGUGUUUAGUUGCAAACAGGUCAAGCUGUGCACUCUAGACAGACUGCCGUGGACAACACGGAGGAAGGUGGGGAUGACGUCAAAUCAUCAUGCCCCUUAUGAUCUGGGCUACACACGUGCUACAAUGGCCGGUACAACGGGCAGCGAAGGAGCGAUCCGGGGCGAAUCCUAAAAAGCCGGUCCCAGUUCGGAUUGCAGGCUGAAACUCGCCUACAUGAAGUUGGAGUUGCUAGUAAUCGCGAAUCAGAAUGUCGCGGUGAAUGCGUUCCCGGGUCUU